rnacentral:rRNA from 1 species
AGUCGAGAAUCUUCGGCAAUGGACGAAAGUCUGACCGAGCGACGCCGCGUGCGGGAUGAAGGCCCUCGGGUUGUAAACCGCUGUCAGUUUGGAGGAAAGGUCUGUGAAGAGCAGGCUUUGACCGAUAUUCAGAGGAAGGACGGGCUAAGUUCGUGCCAGCAGCCGCGGUAAGACGAACCGUCCAAACGUUAUUCGGUAUCACUGGGCUUAAAGCGUGCGUAGGCGGCUUGGUAGGUGUGAUGUGAAAGCCCACGGCUCAACCGUGGAAUUGCGUCGCAAACCCCCAAGCUUGAGGAAGACAGGGGUGUUGGGAACUUAUGGUGGAGCGGUGAAAUGCGUUGAUAUCAUAGGGAACACCGGUGGCGAAGGCGCAACACUGGGUCUUUUCUGACGCUGAGGCACGAAAGCUAGGGUAGCGAA